UACGUAGGGACCAAGCGUUGUUCGGAUUUACUGGGCGUAAAGGGCGCGUAGGCGGCGCGGUAAGUCACUUGUGAAAUCUCUGAGCUUAACUCAGAACGGCCAAGUGAUACUGCAGUGCUAGAGUGUGGAAGGGGCAAUCGGAAUUCUUGGUGUAGCGGUGAAAUGCGUAGAUAUCAAGAGGAACACCUAAGGUGAAGACGGGUUGCUGGGGCAACACUGACGCUGAGGCGCGAAAGCCAGGGGAGCAAACGGG
rnacentral:rRNA from 1 species